CCUACGGGUUGCACCAGUGGGGAAUAUUGGACAGUGGGCGAAAGCCUGAUCCAGCAAUGCCGCGUGUGUGAAGAAGGUCUUCGGAUUGUAAAGCACUUUCGACGGGGACGAUGAUGACGGUACCCGUAGAAGAAGCCCCGGCUAACUUCGUGCCAGCAGCCGCGGUAAUACGAAGGGGGCUAGCGUUGCUCGGAAUGACUGGGCGUAAAGGGCGCGUAGGCGGAUAGAUAAGUCAGAGGUGAAAUCCCGGGGCUCAACCCCGGAAUUGCCUUUGAAACUGUUUAUCUUGAGUGCAGAAGAGGUAAGUGGAAUUCCGAGUGUAGAGGUGAAAUUCGUAGAUAUUGGGAAGAACACCGGUGGCGAAGGCGGCAACCUGGCUCGAUACUGACGCUGAGGCGCGAAAGCGUGGGGAGCAAACAGGAUUAGAUACCCGCGUAGUC
rnacentral:rRNA from 1 species